CGCAAUCUAUGAUGACGGUCAUUAGUAUUACUGAUUUAACUGUGAUUAUCACAAACAUUUUCACCAUCUUUCGGCUGAGAUUGCG